rnacentral:rRNA from 1 species
CGAAGGAAGAGAUUCWUCGUCAGCGUAUUCAGUAUUAAUGCAGGCUAUGAUGUGAUGAUAGAAUCCUUGUGGUCACUAGAUUAUACUUGCUUGUAUUAUUUUUGCUGGGUAGGUCGGCGUGCACUUCUCUUCUAGUAGAACGUCGCAACCCGUUGGAUGUUUAUUUAUGGCCUAAAUGGUAGCCUCUGAUAUUUUAAAAUAUCGAAGACCUUUGGUGUCCUGAUAAGCUGUCUGACGGUAAACAUAUAGUAUUGAGCCGCAAUUAUUUGCGUUAGACUUACCGCAAGUAAGAUUUUAGUCUAGUAGUGCAGAUCUAAUGCUGUCGCUGGGCAAAGUCUACUGUUAGCUGUGUAAUGUCUUUUACUGGCUUAUUUACUGGUUAGCGAUG